rnacentral:pre_miRNA from 1 species
UUAACCCAUUUAACAACUCAACCCAUCAAAUUAAAUGAGUUAUGGGUUGACCCAACCCAUUUAACAAAAUGAGUUGGGUCAACACAUAACUCAUUUAACCCUAAACUCAUUUGAUUAUGAGU